AAGGCAGUCAGUCCCUGUGGAAGUGAACCGCGAAUGGCUCAUUAAAUCAGUUAUGGUUUAUUAGAUCGUGCGUUCUAUGUGGAUAACUGGGGUAAUUCUAGAGCUAAUACAUGCAACUGGCCCUGACUUUACGGAGGGGGGCUUUUAUUAAAUCAAAACCAAUCCCCCUUCGGGGGGAUGUUGUGAUGACUCUGGAUAAUUUUUUGCCAACCCCUUGGCCUUAUGCCGGCGGCGUAUCUUUCAAAUGUCUGCCCUAUCAACUUUCAAUGGUAGGUGACAUGCCUACCAUGGUUGCAACGGGUAACGGGAAAUGGGGCGGGGGCGGCGGGCCGGGCGCGGGGCGCGCCGGGCGACGC
rnacentral:rRNA from 1 species